rnacentral:rRNA from 1 species
AUUGAACGCUGGCGGCAUGCUUUACACAUGCAAGUCGAACGGUAACAGGCCUUCGGGCGCUGACGAGUGGCGAACGGGUGAGUAAUGCAUCGGAACGUGCCCAGUCGUGGGGGAUAACGCAGCGAAAGCUGUGCUAAUACCGCAUACGAUCUGCGGAUGAAAGCGGGGGACCUUCGGGCCUCGCGCGAUUGGAGCGGCCGAUGUCAGAUUAGGUAGUUGGUGGGGUAAAGGCUCACCAAGCCAACGAUCUGUAGCUGGUCUGAGAGGACGACCAGCCACACUGGGACUGAGACACGGCCCAGAAUCCUACGGGAGGCAGCAGUGGGGAAUUUUGGACAAUGGGCGCAAGCCUGAUCCAGCAAUGCCGCGUGCAGGAAGAAGGCCUUCGGGUUGUAAACUGCUUUUGUACGGAGCGAAAAGGCUCCCUCUAAUACAGGGGGCUCAUGACGGUAGCCAAGGAGGAAGCCCCGGCUAACUACGUGCCAGCCGCCGCCGUAAAAC